UCCGCAAUGGGGGAUUUUCCGCAAUGGGGGAUUUUCCGCAAUGGGGGAUUUUCCGCAAUGGGGGAUUUUCCGCAARGGGGGAUUUUCCGCAAUGGGCGAAAGCCUGACGGAGCAAUACCGCGUGAGGGAGGAAGGCUCUUGGGUCGUAAACCUCUUUUCUCAGGGAAGAAGUUCUGACGGUACCUGAGGAAUAAGCAUCGGCUAACUCCGUGCCAGCAGCCGCGGUAAUACGGAGGAUGCAAGCGUUAUCCGGAAUGAUUGGGCGUAAAGGGUCUGUAGGUGGUGCUGUAAGUCUGCUGUUAAAGAGCAAGGCUCAACCUUGUAAGAGCGGUGGAAACUACAGGACUAGAGUGCAUUCGGGGCAGAAGGAAUUCCUGGUGUAGCGGUGAAAUGCGUAGAUAUCAGGAAGAACACCGGUGGCGAAAGCGUUCUGCUAGGCUGCAACUGACACUGAGGGACGAAAGCUAGRGGAGCGAAUGGGAUUAGAUACCCCAGUAGUCCUAGCCGUAAACGAUGGAUACUAGGCGUGGCUUGUAUCGACCCGAGCCGUGCCGGAGCUAACGCGUUAAGUAUCCCGCCUGGGGAGUACGCACGCAAGUGUGAAACUCAAAGGAAUUGACGGGGGCCCGCACAAGCGGUGGAGUAUGUGGUUUAAUUCGAUGCAACGCGAAGAACCUUACCAAGACUUGACAUCCUGCGAAUCCUAGUGAAAGCUGGGAGUGCCUUCGGGAGCGCAGAGACAGGUGGUGCAUGGCUGUCGUCAGCUCGUGUCGUGAGAUGUUGGGUUAAGUCCCGCAACGAGCGCAACCCUCGUUUUUAGUUGCCAGCAUUAAGUUGGGCACUCUAGAGAGACUGCCGGUGACAAACCGGAGGAAGGUGAGGAUGACGUCAAGUCAGCAUGCCCCUUACGUCUUGGGCUACACACGUACUACAAUGCUACGGACAAAGGGCAGCAAGCGCGCGAGUGCAAGCAAAUCUCAUAAACCGUAGCUCAGUUCAGAUCGAAGGCUGCAACUCGCCUUCGUGAAGGAGGAAUCGCUAGUAAUUGCAGGUCAGCAUACUGCAGUGAAUUCGUUCCCGGGCCUUGUACACACCGCCCGUCACACCAUGGAAGUUGGUCACGCCCGAAGUCAUUACCCCAACCUUUUGGAGGGGGAUGCCUAAGGUAGGACUGGUGACUGGGGGUGAAGUCGUAACAG
rnacentral:rRNA from 1 species